AAACUUUCAACAACGGAUCUCUUGGUUCUGGCAUCGAUGAAGAACGCAGCGAAAUGCGAUAAGUAAUGUGAAUUGCAGAAUUCAGUGAAUCAUCGAAUCUUUGAACGCACAUUGCGCCCGCCAGUAUUCUGGCGGGCAUGCCUGUUCAAGCGUCAUUA
rnacentral:rRNA from 1 species